rnacentral:tRNA from 1 species
AAUACUAUAGUUUAUAAAAAAUACUUCAUUUUCAGUGAAGAGAUGUACAUUUAUUAGU